rnacentral:piRNA from 1 species
UAGAUGCAUUCUGAGUCCUGAUCCUGACC